rnacentral:tRNA from 2 species
UGGGGGAUCGUCUAAUGGCAGGACAGCGGACUCUGACUCCGUUAGUGGAGGUUCGAAUCCUCCUCCCCCAG